AUACAUACCUGGCAGGGGAGAUACCAUGAUCACGAAGGGAGUUCAGCCAGGCCGAGGUUCAGCCAUUGCACUGCGGCUGUGGUGACCCCUGCAAAUUCCCCAAAUGUGAGAAUCUCAACUGCAUGAUUUCUGGUAGUGGGGGACUGUGUUCACAUCCUCCCC
ensembl:snRNA U1 U1 spliceosomal RNA